AAGAGGAAGAGCAGUUGGGAUGUAAAUAUGUGACUGUAGUUUCAUAUUUUAGGCAGAGCUGCAGUUCCAUGUUUCCUCUAAAGAUGCUCAGUUUUGUGAUCUUCUGUCAUGUUUCGUUCCUGAUCCACUGCACAGAAAACUCCACAGGUCCUCAGACAGGAAGUGUCAGGUCCAUGGACAGUCCUUCUCCUCAGCCAGGAAGUGUCAGGUCCAUGGACAGUCCAUCUCCUCAAGCAGUGAUCCGGUUUUCGGUCCCGGAGGAUCACCACAUCUGUCUGCCAUGCGACCUCUCCGACAGCUCCGAUGUGGUCUGGACUUUCCAGGACAGGAAGGUUCUGGUGACCCGACAGGGCAGCUACGAGACCAACGAGGACAGCCGGCGCUACCGUCUGCAGUCUGACGGUGGACUCUGCCUCCAGCAGCUCGACGACUCAGACGACGGAGGAUACCGCUGUAACCAGCUGCUGGUAGCCGAGCUGCAGGUGCUCUCAGGUCAGGACUUCAGCGUGUCUGAAGGCCGGACGCUGCUGCUGCCCUGCAGAUCCUCCAGACCCAGACUGAGGUGGAGCCGUCAGAAGGAGGGAGGGAGGCGGGAGGUCAUCUUCACCCGCUUCAAAGACGGGACGGUGAAGUCGGAGACGGAUGGCAGCCGGCUGAGCUUCACCAACGACGCCCUGCAGAUCCAGGAUCUGCAGCUGG
ensembl:lncRNA